GCACUUCGUGAUAAGCCUGGGAAACUGGGUCUAAUACCGAAUAGGACCAUUUAGCGCAUGCUUUAUGGUGGAAAGCUUNUGCGGUGUGGGAUGGGCCCGCGGCCUAUCAGCUUGUUGGUGGGGUGACGGCCUACCAAGGCGACGACGGGUAGCCGGCCUGAGAGGGUGUCCGGCCACACUGGGACUGAGAUACGGCCCAGACUCCUACGGGAGGCAGCAGUGGGGAAUAUUGCACAAUGGGCGCAAGCCUGAUGCAGCGACGCCGCGUGGGGGAUGACGGCCUUCGGGUUGUAAACCUCUUUCAGCAGGGACGAAGCGCAAGUGACGGUACCUGCAGAAGAAGCACCGGCCAACUACGUGCCAGCGGCCGCGGUAAUACGUAGGGUGCGAGCGUUGUCCGGAAUUACUGGGCGUAAAGAGCUCGUAGGUGGUUUGUCGCGUUGUUCGUGAAAACUCACGGCUUAACUGUGAGCGUGCGGGCGAUACGGGCAGACUGGAGUACUGCAGGGGAGACUGGAAUUCCUGGUGUAGCGGUGGAAUGCGCAGAUAUCAGGAGGAACACCGGUGGCGAAGGCGGGUCUCUGGGCAGUAACUGACGCUGAGGAGCGAAAGCGUGGGGAGCGAACAGGAUUAGAUACCCUGGUAGUCCACGCCGUAAACGGUGGGUACUAGGUGUGGGUUUCCUU
rnacentral:rRNA from 1 species